UGUCCUCUCUACCUGUGUGGCUUUCUGUCUCCCAGAUACUCAUAUUUCUGCCCCCACCCCCACCCCCAUCCUCAGAAUCUGCCUGGCAAUGACGUAAUGAGAGUUGGUUGCUAGGCAACCUGCCUCAGCUCAGUCAAGAGAAAUCUGCUCUGGUUUGAAGGGCCCCUGCCGAUUUCUUAAAAUAUCAGCUCUUAGCACACAUCUCAUCCCAAAGCAGAGAGAAUACAGUGCUGGCAACCUCCCCCUCCACCAAACCCCCCAGGCCUCCCUUCCCCAACCAUGCUGGCUUUCUGAGAGCUGAUCAUGUGAGACUAACCUCCUUGUCUCUCCUUGUCACGGUCCUUAGCCUAUAGGAGAGGGACCUGUGAUUGCUGUGACUUCAGCAGGCAUUGGCAGAGUCUGCCCCGUGGUUCUCGAGGAUGAAAUGGUUAGUGCAUCCCAGAUGAUCUGCUAAGUGAAUGCUGCCUGUUGUAUAUAAUUAUAGACAAAGGCCUUAGCUAAUGGCCCCGUGUAACCCUGCGGGGAGGUCUGCGGCGCCACAGGGGACUGACAUCAGUCCUGCAUUGUCUGAUACUCUUAUCAAUGAUGUAGACAGGAGAGGAGAGGCCUGCCUGUCAAGAUGGGGCCGAAACAAAGGCUAGGAAGAGCAGGCUAUGCUCAGGGUCCUCCAGAUGUGGAAAUGGCUCAAAACGGAGCAGGCUGGGGGGGUGGGGAAAACUGAAUGGGAUUUGGUGGCGAUGUCUGAAUGGGAGCACUCAUCAAUCAGAUGCUAGCCCAGAGGCACAGUGAGGCCAAAAAACAAACAGAGACAUCAGGCUCCGUGACGCUCCCACCUGACAAAAGACAUGCGCUUAGAAGGAAAAGGAAAAAAAAAGAGAGAGAGACAAAAACUUGAACGCAGUCUUUAAAACAGAGGUGAAGCAAAUCAAUCAAAAACAGGCAGAAAUAUGGGUGCUGGAACUUCAGUGCCUCAGGGCCCCCACAAGUCAAGAGAGAGAGAGAGAGAGAGAGAGAGAGAGAGAGAGAGAACAAUGUUGUUGGUUGUCAGGAGGACACAGGUUGUGAUCACCGUGUGUGACCUGACCUCUGCAAUGAGUGGCCAAAGGAAAAGGGGAGAAUAUGUAAUCUGACAGCAGAGACAUGAGUGUCCCAAGUCACCUCCUCUGUGUGGUUAGGCCGCAUUUGUUCAAGAUGAGCAGACCUGCUCUGCGCUCCCACCCCUGGGUCUCCUCCUCCUCACAGAGCGCCACACGUCGGGUGUCUAAGACAUGUGUGUUCAAAAGCCGUUAGAGCUGCCUUCAGGGAGUUGCAAGCCAGAGAUACUCCGUGCCUGAGGACCAUGGGUGGACAUGACUCUGCUGUCCUUGAGGAAGAUACUCACUGCUGCGUGUAGUUUCUGGCACGGAAUGCUGAAAAGCACAGAAAGACCUGAGGAAGCCACAGGCGAAGGGCAGACUGCCCUGUGCGCUCUGAUACAGAACAGCCCAAGCUGGGGGGCAGAGAGUGGACUCGGGGCCGUGAGCAUGCUAAGCAUGCACCCUGGGCUGGGCUACGGCUUCUGUUCUCUCCUCAUAUGACUUUUUACAAUCUUAAGAUAAGGAGCUCACUAAACUGCCCAGGCUGGCCUUGAA